CCUACGGGUGGCUGCAGUGAGGAAUAUUGCGCAAUGGAGGCAACUCUGACGCAGCCAUGCCGCGUGCAGGAAGAAGGCGCUACGCGUUGUAAACUGCUUUUAUCCGGGAAGAAACCCCAGGACGUGUCCUGGGUUGACGGUACCGGAGGAAUAAGCACCGGCUAACUUCGUGCCAGCAGCCGCGGUAAUACGCAGGGUGCAGGCGUUAUCCGGAUUCAUUGGGUUGAAGGGGUGCGGAGGUGGGGCGGUAGAAAUCCUGCAGCGCAACUGCAGAAUUGCCGUUGAUACUGUCGCUCUUGAGUACGCUUGACGUGGGCGGAAUGUGCCGUGUAGCGGUGAAAUGCUUAGAUAUGGCACAGAACACCGAUAGUGAAGACAGCUCACGAAGGCGAAACUGACACUGAGGCACGAAAGCGUGGGGAUCGAACAGGAUUAGAUACCCCGGUAGUC
rnacentral:rRNA from 1 species